rnacentral:lncRNA from 1 species
GUUCACCAUAUCCAUUCUGUUCACCAUGUUCAUCCUGUUCGUUUGACAUAUUACAAUUUUGGUCUUGUUGUUGUUUUUCUUUACCAUUUCCACAUUCUAUGUCACCAGUUUGUUUAUUAAUAAUAUUAUCAUUACCAACUGAUUGAUUAAUAAUUAAAUUUUUUAAGUUGUAUACAGACAUUUUGUUACGUUUAUAAGCAAAUGUAGAAAAUAUUUGAAUGCUUACUAAAUUAAAGUAUAUAUAACAUGAAAAAAUAAAUUUUUUUAGAAUAAAAAAAUAUAUAUAUAUCAUUAUUACUACAUAAUAUUUUAUAUAAAUGAUAAUUAAAAUUAGAUAUAGGACCUUCCUUUGUAUAUAUAUGAAAAGAACACCAUUGUUUUUUUUUUUAUUAAUAAUAAUUGGAAUAUUGUAAGACAAUUUUCUUUAAGCAUUGCUAUAUCGAACUCGUAAGGAUUAUUUACAGUAAUAAAAAAAACGACAAGAAUUACUUAACUUUUCAUCAUAAUUAUAAUGAGGUACUUUAUUAGAUCUAUAUGCAUUUAAUAAUGGAAAGUUAUCAUACUCUUUUUCAUUUGAAUUGUAGGUAUUUAUAUUUCCAGUACCAGUGUCUGUAUUAUUACCCAUACAAUCAUCACUGUUAUAAUUAUUACUAUAUUUAUUACAACUAUUAAUAUUGUCACUAUUGUUAUUUUUUUUAUUUUUUUCAUAAUUAUGAAAUUGUGUUUUAAUAUGUUCAUAUAUAUGAAUAUAAUUAUUAUAUAAUUUACGUGUAUAAUUAUUCAACUUUUCAUUUUUUAUUUUAGCUACAUCACCCUCCUUAUUACUAUUACUAUUAUAAUUGCUAUUAUAAUUAUUACUACCAAAACCAACAUGACUAUUAUUACUGUUGACUUUAAAAUUAUUAUUAUGAAUAUUGUAACUCUUAUUCGUGUUAUUCGGGUUCAUAUAAUUUAUAUUAUUAUAAUUAUUUAUAUUUUCUUUUUUUCCUUAACGGUGCAUGUAUACAUUCAUUAAUAUAAGUACUAUUAUUACUAUUACUAUUACUAUUGUAACUAUAAUUGUUACUAUAAUUGUUACUAUAAUUGUUACUAUAACUGUUACUAUAAUUGUUGCUAUAAUUGUUACUACUAUCAUCUUCAUCAUUUUCAUUAGUAUACAUGUUUUUUUUUUUUUUUUUUUUUUUUUUUUUUUUUUUUUUUUUUUUUUUUUUUUUUUUUUUUUUUUUUUUUAGCAUGCUGUUAUAUUUUUUAUUAAUAAAAAAUAUGUAUUAUAUUAAGAUUAUAUAUAU